UUAUGUAUUCAUUUUUGCAUCUCAUCUCAGUUCAGUGUGACAUGUGGCCGCGACCUGCUCGGCUUCACGUCUUCAAGUAGAAAUUCAACUUCUUUCGCCUGUUCCUGCCUGACAAAAUGACUUCCAAAUGGCUAGAAAGUUUAUUCUAAAACGCAAGAACGUUUGGCUUCAGUUGAAGAAACAGGACAUGACGAAAGUUCAGACGUUUAGCAGAACAGAGAUGUCGUCACGCGAGGAGAGACUACACGCCGUGCUCAACACGCUGAUUUCUGAUGCCUUGUGCUAGAGCACUACGCAGCUAGACAAAUCCACGAGGUUGCUGGCAGCCCUUUGUGUGAAAUAGCAGAGGUGGACGUUAAAGACCUGCAAUGGAAGAGCAUUUGGACAGUCAGAAAAAAAAAACAAUCAAAAUGAUAGCGGGAAUGUGGAACAAGAUUCACAGAAACAAACACGUGGAUAGAAACAAAAGAACCCAGCAAAAUGAUUGCAAGGAUGGAAACAAAAGCUUGGAAUGGUAAACACGCGGAGCAAGCAUUGGAACUCGGCAGAAGGAUAGCGUGAAGGUGGAGUAAGAUUCACAAAAGCAAACACAUGGAUAAAACCAAAAGAACUUGGCAAAAUGAUUGCAAGGAUGGAAGCAAAAACGGAGGAUGGAAAACAACUGGAGCAAGCAAUGGAACUAGGCAAAAUGAUUAAAAGACAGCAAGAACAGAGAACAAGAAAAACACUAUUUGUUGACUUGAAAUAAAUAAAAGUUUUAAAACAAAUCGCGUGUUAUGCGGCUCAUUGUCACACACGCGUGAAGAGACAAGCUGGUACUCAGUCUUACAUGACGUUUGCUCUAAAUUAUCGUGUUUGACAUUGAUUUGGUCUUGCUCACGUUAUGCUAGACGGAGUUAACUUGCCGCAGCUUGUCUUUACACGUAAUGGUGGAAGAAGUCGCUGUUUUCUUUUUGACUUGGAAAUUUUUUUCAAAUAGUAGAUAGACACUUAGAAAUUUUUUUUCAAAU